rnacentral:rRNA from 1 species
UACGUAGGUGGCUAGCGUUGUCCGGAUUUACUGGGCGUAAAGAGCGCGCAGGCGGUCGUUCAAGUCGAGUGUGAAAGCCCCCGGCUCAACUGGGGAGGGUCACUCGAUACUGAUCGACUUGAAGGCGGGAGAGGGAAGCGGAAUUCCCGGUGUAGUGGUGAAAUGCGUAGAUAUCGGGAGGAACACCAGUGGCGAAGGCGACUUCCUGGCCUGUUCUUGACGCUGAGGCGCGAAAGCUAGGGGAGCAAACGGG